UUUUUAAAAGUGAUUUACAUGAGUAACUUGUAGUUAUAUAACUUGUAAUUUUAUAUACAGGUUGAAUACAGAGGCGAUGAAGAAACAGAAAAACAAGAAAUCCCCAAACAAGGCGAUGAAGAAAUGGAAGGGGAAGAAGGAAAAGUAGAGGAAGAAGUUAAAUAAGAGGUAGAAGAAAAGGUAUGUGUUUUUACAAGGGAUUUUAAAAGCUUAUAAAUCGUGUUUUAAAGAUUUUUAGCCGUUUUUAAAAGAUCGGCAGUGUUAGAUAUGUAUUUACAAGGGAUUUUAAAGACUUCUUAAUGGGGUUUUAAAGAUUUAAAGUCGUUAAUAAUGAUUUUACAAGAAUUUUUAAAAGGGCUUUAAAAACGUUAAUAAUGAUUUUACAAUGAUUUUUAAAACGAUUAGUACCUGAGCAGUAGGGUCAGAAUGAGAAACAAAAGGAUUUGAAGUAGUCUCAGCCUGUAAUAAGCACAAUCACUGACUUAAUAAUGAUUUUACAAGGAUUUUUAAAAUUAUAACACAAGAAGGUUAUUGAAAAACCUGCUCAACUGUCACAGAAAUUUGCUCUACAGUCAAGCAUAACUGAAGCAAUCGUUUUAUAAGCAUAGAAU
rnacentral:sRNA from 1 species